rnacentral:rRNA from 1 species
UACGGAGGGUGCGAGCGUUGUCCGGAAUUAUUGGGCGUAAAGAGCUCGUAGGCGGCUUGUCGCGUCGGAUGUGAAAGCCCGGGGCUUAACUCCGGGUCUGCAUUCGAUACGGGCAGGCUAGAGUUCGGUAGGGGAGAUCGGAAUUCCUGGUGUAGCGGUGAAAUGCGCAGAUAUCAGGAGGAACACCGGUGGCGAAGGCGGAUCUCUGGGCCGAUACUGACGCUGAGGAGCGAAAGCGUGGGGAGCGAACAGG